CAUUCUUUUCAUCUAUUUCCUAAAACAUCUCUUCUUCUAUUGUUAAAAAUUCAAACCCAUCCAACUCCUUCUCUCCCUUUUCAUCUCACCCCUUUUCUUUAUUUUCUCUAAUCCGAAAGGAAAAUAAUACUGACACCGCUGAGUUACUUUUGUCAUGGUGUGGGGCUAUUUUUUUAAAAUGGGUAAAUUUGAAAAGAAAAAAUGCAGUGUGUUUUUGAAAUGCACUCUGUUGAUGUUUCUUUCAUCUAGAAUCUCUAAAUCUCAAUUUAUUAUCUCAAUCUCUCAUCUCUGCUCAUCAUCCCAAUAUGAUCAUUCCAAUAUGUUGAUGUUACUUUCAUCCAGAAUUCCUAAAUCUCAAUCCAUUAUCCCAAUCUCUCAUCUUUGUUCAUCAUCCCAAUAUGUUGAUGUUUCUUUCAUCCAAAAUCCCUAAAUCUCUGCUCAUCAUCCCAAUCUCUCAUCUCUGCCCAUUAUCCAACUUGAACCACAUAAGAACGAAGAGCUUUCGAACCAGAGCACAGACCACACCAUUACCUGAAGAUAGAACCAUCUUAAGGGCCUGCAACGUUGAAGAGAGUCGUCCUGUGACCAAGAGGCCCAUUUAGAGAGCCUGGGCUUGAGGGUGACUCAAGUACAAACCUGCAUUUGUAUCAAGGGGUUAGGUUAUAGUUGCCUUGAAUUGGACAUUAUGAGCAGAAAUGAUUUCAGCCCUUGAGAGUUCAAAGGAACCUCAAAGGACGAAGUCUAAUCUACUGGAUGCAGUAGAGUUCUUUGGAAUGAAAAGUAACCUCAAGAGUCAUAGUGUAAUGUUAUGUACACUCUUCCAUUGAAUUCAAUACACAUUUUUUUUUUCUUUUCUAA